rnacentral:rRNA from 1 species
UACGGAGGGUGCAAGCGUUAUCCGGAAUCACUGGGUUUAAAGGGUACGUAGGCGGUCCUAUAAGUCAGUAGUGAAAGACCUCGGCUUAACUGAGGCAUUGCUAUUGAUACUGUAGGACUUGAAUUAGGUUGAGGUUGGCGGAAUGUGUCAUGUAGCGGUGAAAUGCUUAGAUAUGACAUAGAACAUCAAAUGCGAAGGCAGCUGACCAAGCUUUUAUUGACGCUGAGGUACGAAAGCGUGGGGAGCAAACAGG